UACGAAGGGGGCUAGCGUUGUUCGGAUUUACUGGGCGUAAAGCGCACGUAGGCGGAUCGUUAAGUCGGGGGUGAAAUCCUGGAGCUCAACUCCAGAACUGCCUUCGAUACUGGCGAUCUUGAGUCCGGAAGGGGUGAGUGGAACUCCUAGUGUAGAGGUGGAAUUCGUAGAUAUUAGGAAGAACACCAGUGGCGAAGGCGGCUCACUGGUCCGGUACUGACGCUGAGGUGCGAAAGCGUGGGGAGCAAACAGG
rnacentral:rRNA from 1 species